CCUACGGGAGGCAGCAGUGGGGAAUAUUGGACAAUGGGGGCAACCCUGAUCCAGCCAUGCCGCGUGUGUGAAGAAGGCCCUCGGGUUGUAAAGCACUUUCAGUGAGGAAGAACGCCUGGUGGUUAAUACCCAUCAGGAAAGACAUCACUCACAGAAGAAGCACCGGCUAACUCCGUGCCAGCAGCCGCGGUAAUACGGAGGGUGCGAGCGUUAAUCGGAAUUACUGGGCGUAAAGCGAGCGUAGGUGGCUUGAUAAGCCGGUUGUGAAAGCCCCGGGCUCAACCUGGGAACGGCAUCCGGAACUGUCAAGCUAGAGUGCAGGAGAGGAAGGUAGAAUUCCCGGUGUAGCGGUGAAAUGCGUAGAGAUCGGGAGGAAUACCAGUGGCGAAGGCGGCCUUCUGGACUGACACUGACACUGAGGUGCGAAAGCGUGGGUAGCAAACAGGAUUAGAUACCCUUGUAGUC
rnacentral:rRNA from 1 species